rnacentral:snRNA from 1 species
GUGCUUGCUUCGGCAGCACAUAUACUAAAAUUGGAACGACACAGAGAAGAUUAGCAUGGCCCCUGUGCAAGGAUGACAUACAAAUUCAUGAAGUGUUCCAUAUUGUU